rnacentral:rRNA from 1 species
UACGUAGGGCGCAAGCGUUGUCCGGAAUUAUUGGGCGUAAAGAGCUCGUAGGCGGUUUGUCGCGUCUGUCGUGAAAGCUUGGGGCUUAACCCCAAGUCUGCGGUGGAUACGGGCAGACUAGAGGCAGGUAGGGGAGAACGGAAUUCCCGGUGUAGCGGUGAAAUGCGCAGAUAUCGGGAGGAACACCGGUGGCGAAAGCGGCUACCUGGCCCAUUCUUGACGCUGAGGCGCGAAAGCUAGGGGAGCAAACGGG